CACUGCCGAGAAAAGCCUCUAGAUAGAAAAUAGGUGCCCGUACCGCAAACCGACACAGGUAGUCAAGAUGAGAAUUCUAAGGUGAGCGAGCGAACUCUCGUUAAGGAACUCGGCAAAAUGACCCCGUAACUUCGGGAGAAGGGGUGCUCUUUAGGGUUAACGCCCAGAAGAGCCGCAGUGAAUAGGCCCAAGCGACUGUUUAUCAAAAACACAGGUCUCUGCUAAACCGUAAGGUGAUGUAUAGGGGCUGACGCCUGCCCGGUGCUGGAAGGUUAAGAGGAGUGGUUAGCUUCUGCGAAGCUACGAAUCGAAGCCCCAGUAAACGGCGGCCGUAACUAUAACGGUCCUAAGGUAGCGAAAUUCCUUGUCGGGUAAGUUCCGACCCGCACGAAAGGCGUAACGAUUUGGGCACUGUCUCAACGAGAGACUCGGUGAAAUCAUAGUACCUGUGAAGAUGCAGGUUACCCGCGACAGGACGGAAAGACCCCGUGGAGCUUUACUGUAGCCUGAUAUUGAAAUUCGGCACAGCUUGUACAGGAUAGGUAGGAGCCUUUGAAACGUGAGCGCUAGCUUACGUGGAGGCGCUGGUGGGAUACUACCCUAGCUGUGUUGGCUUUCUAACCCGCACCACUUAUCGUGGUGGGAGACAGUGUCAGGCGGGCAGUUUGACUGGGGCGGUCGCCUCCUAAAAGGUAACGGAGGCGCUCAAAGGUUCCCUCAGAAUGGUUGGAAAUCAUUCAUAGAGUGUAAAGGCAUAAGGGAGCUUGACUGCGAGACCUACAAGUCGAGCAGGGUCGAAAGACGGACUUAGUGAUCCGGUGGUUCCGCAUGGAAGGGCCAUCGCUCAACGGAUAAAAGCUACCCCGGGGAUAACAGGCUUAUCUCCCCCAAGAGUUCACAUCGACGGGGAGGUUUGGCACCUCGAUGUCGGCUCAUCGCAUCCUGGGGCUGUAGUCGGUCCCAAGGGUUGGGCUGUUCGCCCAUUAAAGCGGUACGCGAGCUGGGUUCAGAACGUCGUGAGACAGUUCGGUCCCUAUCCGUCGUGGGCGUAGGAAAUUUGAGAGGAGCUGUCCUUAGUACGAGAGGACCGGGAUGGACAUACCUCUGGUGUACCAGUUGUCGUGCCAACGGCAUAGCUGGGUAGCUAUGUGUGGACGGGAUAAGUGCUGAAAGCAUCUAAGCAUGAAGCCCCCCUCAAGAUGAGAUUUCCCAACUUCGGUUAUAAGAUCCCUCAAAGAUGAUGAGGUUAA
rnacentral:rRNA from 1 species